rnacentral:rRNA from 1 species
CCUACGGGAGGCAGCAGUGAGGAAUAUUGGUCAAUGGGCGGGAGCCUGAACCAGCCAAGCCGCGUGAGGGAAGAAGGUACAGCGUAUCGUAAACCUCUUUUGUCAGGGAACAAAGGCGGGGACUAGUCCCCGGAUGAGGGUACCUGAAGAAAAAGCAUCGGCUAACUCCGUGCCAGCAGCCGCGGUAAUACGGAGGAUGCGAGCGUUAUCCGGAUUUAUGGGGUUUAAAGGGUGCGCAGGCGGCCUGUUAAGUCAGCGGUAAAAGCCCGGGGCUAAACCCCGGCGAGCCGUUGAAACUGGCGGGCUGGAGUUGGAGAGAAGUACGCGGAAUGCGCGGUGUAGCGGUGAAAUGCUUAGAUAUCGCGCAGAACCCCGAUUGCGAAGGCAGCGUACCGGCUCCACACUGACGCUGAGGCACGAAAGCGUGGGUAUCGAACAGGAUUAGAUACCCCAGUAGUC